rnacentral:lncRNA from 1 species
AUGUUUAACAUGCGGAAAUAUGGUGAUUGGCUACACUCUGGGGACAACAACCAACAACAAGACUUGCUUAUAGAGAAAAACAAACCGAACAUACAGCAAAACAAAGUCACUAGAGGACCAACCAACCAGGUAUAGGUUUUAUAAACAGCCCAUAGGAAGGGCGGCAACACAUCCACGACACACUAAAAUAUGGACUUCACACUGACAUCAACACACGACAAUAGUUUUUGUUCACAGGGUUACGAGCCCAAAGUUUCGACACGAGAAUAUUCAUCUAAGUUUUACGCGCACCCUUUGAAAACCGCUACAUCUUCGGAGACACAUGGAACACAUAAUGCAAGGGAUUGCAUGGGGCCACGUUCUCCCCCCUUCACUUGCCGCUACUUAGGAGUUAGGACCGCUUGCCGCGAUCUGUUCUUCGAGCUGCAUCAAAAGAUGAAUAAUAGGUCAAUGAUUAAGAUAAGUCUAUGGCACAUAAUGAUGCUCAAGUCACGUGGUUUCACUAAUCAGCCAUGUUACAAGUUAGCUAGUUUCUUAUUUGCGCAUUUGGCGAAGCUUAAUUUAAGCUGGGAAACAAAGAAUUUCUACCACUUUUUUAGCUACCAUGUGCAUCUACCAAGCAUGAUGACAAAAUUACCACAUAAUCAUUUAACGGCUAAAUGAGACUUUUCGGUACCUCAAACUAAGUGAUCCAAAUCAUAAUGUCAAAAGAAUUAGAUUAAGUAUUAAACAUUGUUCCCUUUUCUCUAUCUUAAUAUGACCAAUCUAUGAGUUAUGAAACUAGCGGGAAUUUGGUAUCAAAAUCCAACAUUAGGCACAUAAGGUGCUACCUGCAUCAUGAUCUCCAACUCAUGUCGCACAUUUUAGAACUCAUUCCUAACAAGAGCCAAUGACAUGAGACACCUGAAAUAAUGCAAAAAUACCACAUUGUCAGAUUCUGAAGAGGUUAACAGAACUGAGAUGAAAUGGUUCAAAAAUUGUAACCCUAUGCUUCAAAAGAGAAAAACCUCUAGCCAUAUAUGAAUUUAGUUGUGCGAUAAACAGAAGUCUAGAGCCAAUAAAUUACAAGAGAACCAUCAAAAUGUAGCAUAUUCAGAUAAUGAACUGAGUAAUAUCAACAAUGUGAUUGCAGACGAAGUGAAAAAGUAAAUCAGGUUACUUCUUAACAAUGUUAGAUUGGUAUGAGCUGAAAAUAACGACAGAAAAGACAACAUGAGCUGGUAGGUUUACAUGGAGACAUUGAAAAACAAUGUUGUGAAUAAUUAUUGUGUAACAAUAUUUAAUAAGCUGUUGAGUUCUGACCCAUGUUUGUAUUGUAUGGCAUAGAAAUUGCCGAAGUGCAUGCAGGCGAGGUUUACUUGCUGUGCACCAACACUGAAACAUGCAAAAAAAAAUGCAGAUCAGGAAAUUAGGAACUUAUCAAACUUAUUUUAAACUGAGACGUCAACUCAAUAAUAUUCCCAAGGAGCCAUUUCCUAUCAUGAUUGUCAACUCCAUGAAUUGUUUGAUGAACCAGAAAAAAACACCAUUGCCGUCAUGUGCAAUGGCAGAUCAGUAGUACCAGAAAUAUUCAGAAAACGACAAAGUUUUUCUUGACAAACCAUGAAAUUGUCAUGAAUACCGACAAAUCCGCUACACGAGACACAACUACGAUCAGGUCUUCUAAUUUUCGAUAUACGACACCCGAAUCACGUCCAUGACGUAGACACCCUGCGCCUGACAAAUCUGAAUAGAAACAACACCGUUCCAAUGGAGAAACAGAAAAAAUGGCCAUUGGUGUUAUGUAGAAUUGCAGAUCAUUAAUACCAGCCAUGCUUAUAAAACAACAAUUUAUUUCAUGUUCGGACUAGAAUUAUGGCAUUGCCCAAAGAACAGACACGAUAGUAGAACAAACAUUUGCAAAACGACAAAAGUUCCCCUCGCCAAGCUAUAUGAUUUGAUUGAAAUUGGGAAGAAUACCAAAAAAAAUUGUUACACGAUAUAUGACUAAACUCAUCUCUUCUACCUAUGGCUAUACGGCGCCUGUAGAAUGACACGAACCUCAAUUGUGCGGCCGUGUCGUGAGGUACGCACCCCGUGCCGACACAUCCAAAUAAAGAACAACAUCAAUGCCGUGGACAAACUAGAAAAAACACAAUUAGAGAUACAUAGAAUAGCAGAACAUUAAUACUAGAAAAACCACCAUUAGUAAUACACAGAAUAGCAGAUCAUUAAUACCAGGAAUAUUCCGAAAACGACAACAAUUUAUCCUCAUCAUUGAUAUUUAUCGGGAUACCGGUAACUCCGUUACACUAAACGCAACUAAACUCGAUUCUUCUAAUUACGCCUAUGGGGCAGUGCAACCGACAAAUAAGAAUCACUCGCCCAGUAUAAUAAACAGAUCUGAAUCGCACGACAUUGACGCAGUGGGCAAACAAACAUAGAGUUAAAAAUAAGCAGGUGGAAGAGAGAGAAAGGGUUUAUGUUGGUCAUCACCUGGAGGUGCACCGCAUGAGAUGCUGCGUCAGGGCUUCCACCUCAUCAAAGUCCACUUUGGGCUCCUCCCUGCGAUUUCCAGAGCAGAUAAUUAAGAUAAGUCAGUACCAAACAGAGAGUAGAGGGAGAGAUGAUAGAGGGCGUGGGGGGCGGACAUCAGGAUGUCGAUGUCGUCGAUGAUCUUGGAGGCGUCGUAGAUGAAGAGGCGGGAGACCUCGACGGCGGUGCCCUCGUCCCGCAGCUCCUCGAACGUGUCCUCGUCCAUGACACCCUAGAUCGACAUCAACCACGGCAAGGCAAACUCAUAGGCCAAGUCAGGCCAAAUUCCACAACCACACGACUAGAGGGGAGGGGAGGGGCCUCACAUCAGUGUACAUGCCGGUGAUAUGAGCGUUGAGCUGCGCCCUCAGUGCUGCGGCUGCCAUGGCAAGGCGAGGAGAAGUCCGGCGGUCCGGGGGACUGAGCGGUGGAGAUGGGGGAAAUUCGGCUGCGGAUGCGGAGUGAACAAGGACGGGAUCGAGGAGGAGCGGAGGUUGUAUAGCUGGGCUCACGAGGGUCUCUCACGUAGGCGUUUGGCAGCGAGUGCUCUACUAGCUGUACUGCGUCGUCGGCCGGGCGCCAUUAGUUAGCUUGGAAACGGCCCGCGUGCGUAAUGCGUGCAUGCAUCAUGCAUUCAGGCAUGGAACCACCGGUUGUGUGUCCACGUGUUCAUGGAAGUGAGCGUCUGUUUCAACUUUAAUCUCUUUUCCUUUCAUAAAAAACUUUAGUCCCUCACAAUGCUUAUAGGGACGAAUAGAAGACCAUCCACUCUCCUCUGUCUCACUUGAGUGAAUUGGUUUCGAGAGCAUUCCACCACUUUUUAUGAUUUUCACAGUUUCACUUUCAACCCGAUUCACCGCCUACAUGCCCUUUACGUCCAGUCAUUCCAAAGAGUACUUGCCCCCCACCCCUUGUCUUAGCGCGGCUGCUGGCACGCAGUUACCGGGGCUUCUUCCUCUAGUUCUGCCGUGAUCGCGCACUCGACGUAAGAGCUUUACAAGGAGCAUUGACCUUCUUCACUAACGCGAGAUUGCUGGAUUGGGCUUUCGCCCAUUGUCCAAGAUUCCCCUCUGUUGCCCCCCAUGGGAGUUUGGGUUGUGUCUCAGUCCCAGUGUGGCUAAUCAUUCAAAAAGACCAGCUAAGCAUCAUUGGCUUGGCCAGCAUUUACCUGACCAACUAACUAAUGCUACGCAGGCUCAUCAAACAAUGCUUUGAACUUUCUUCAGAAUUCGGCCCAAACUAUUCAACAGAUUCCCACGCAUUACGCAUCCGUUCGUCACUUUGUUCUCACCUAUUCCGAUUAAUUCCAGCAAACGGAGGCUGUUAGGUCAAAGCCGCAGCGCACGCCCUAUAGUUUUGAAGCAAGGCGAGACAACUUUAGCUAUGGGGAGACCUAACCAAACAUGGCGGUCAACCCCUAGAAUAAAUCAUGCUUCACGAGUUUGCGAGCUUCAACAUUCAAGCUCCUAAAUUCAUGGCUAAUGAUACAAUUAGUAAAAGUAGCCUUCCGAUCUAUGAUCCAUGUAUGAUUGCUCUGUAUAUAGCUGCGCUCUUCUGAUGUAUAUCUGCAACACUACCUUGAAAUCUGAAGCCACCUGAAUCUUCCUCUCAUAGAGAUUAUCAGCAAGCGCAAGUGCCACCCUUAUUGCUGAAGAUUCGACAGUAGCAAGAUCUAAUAUAUGUGGGAACACAAUGGCUGACACACCCAGAAAAUUACAUGCUUGAUCUCUGCAUAUAGCUCCCAUUGCGCCUCGAGUGCCGCCUGGUCCAACCACCGAACCCACAUUGACCUUCACCAUUGCUUUGGGUAGCGCUCAGCUUAGUUAAGUAACUCUGCACAAAAGCCUGAAAAGUGAAAGGACUUUUAUAUAUCUCCUCAUGUAUAGCUUUGUGCCCAGCUCCCCAUAUCAUCCGCAAAAGUGAUCGUAAACAUGAUAAAAUCCUCCUCAUGUGAUAACACCUCAUGCAUGGUGAAUAGCCAUUGUUUGGUGUCAUCAUUUACAUUCAGACUCAACCGCUCGACAAUUUGCUCGUAUGAUAGUGCCCACAUGCUCCUUGAAACCAAGCAAUUCAGCAGGGCGUGCCUGCACGUAUCAUUAGACCCGCACAAACAACAAGCACUCAUCGUCGACAUGUUUCUAUGAUGAAGAAGGACAUUGUGAGUAUUGUGCUAAUCUCCACAUGAACACCUUGAUUUUCGAGGGGCUUUUAUAUGCCAUAAGUCUGUCCAUCCUGGACAAUCAGCCUCUGAGUUUGAUCGGCCGCCCUGCUCAUACAGCCAUGAUUCUCUAUUGAUCUUGGUUCACUGUAUCAUCUUGUAAGCGGAAUCCACAGUGAACAUACCCCUUCUAUCCUCACUUCAAGCACAAAAUCAGAUAUAUGUCUCGUGCAAAGAGGGAUCUUCAAUAUAGUCUCGGCAUCAAUGGGAAUAAGUUACGAUUAAAUAAGUUCAUCCGUUGACGACAUAGUGUAAUCAGUGUGUUCAGCGACCCUUGUCGGCGGCUGUGGUAUUUGUGAAGUUCUUGGCCUCUUUAUAUGCUCUCUAGUUAUCUAGUUGUCAUUCCAAAUAUCAGGGGAUUCUCUAUCUCCUAAUCUCCAUAUCAAACCAUGAGUCGUUAUGUCUUUCCCAUGCAAAAUAGCCCGCCAUAUCUGUGAUGGGUGUGGUCCCAAGGUUGCAUCAGAAAGAGAGUUAUUUGGAUAGUAGAAAACUUUUAAGAUUAAUGAACUCAGAGAACCGGUAUGGUCUAGCAAGGUACAGGCUUGCCUGGCAAGUAGGGCUAGAUUAAAGAUCUCAAAUAAUCGGUCUCAUCGUAACAUCCCAUGAGACCCAGCAUGGCUUCCUUCUCCCAUGUUUACUUCCCUACCAAAAUUGUUGGAUUGAAGAGGUGACACUCGCGCAACAUCCUCGCGGGAAACAGAAGCGGGCCAUGGAAUAUACCGGAAUUGCCUAUGCCAUAGAGUUUAUCAAAACCUCUUUACCUGUAGUUGACAGGAGCUUUUCCAUCUAUCCUCUCAGCUUUUCCGAAACUCUGUCACGUAAGUAUUUGAAAGUCAUGUUCUUGGACUGCCCCACAUCAGUUGGCAUACACAAUUUCCUGUCAUUGAGCGACUCAUUUUAGACGUUCAAAGUAUGCUUGACAUCUUCCUUGAGAGCCUGAGGGCAUCCUCUCUAUUGCAAAAUAUAAAGGACUUGCCAUGAUUUAUUCUUCGUCUGGAUCCCAACCAAUAAUUCUCUAGUAGGUUUGAUACUUCAACUGCCCAAUCAUGACUUGACUUAAAAAGCAAGAUGUUGUCAUCUGCAAAAAGUAGAUGGUUCACAGCCAAAGUUGUUGGUGCCACUUAAGCGUGAUGAAGAAGAACUGGAUUUCAGGAGGCAUUAAAGGCCCUCUACUGCAAUUAAGAAAAGAUAUGGGGAUAUUGGAUCUCCCUGCCGGAUAACUCUUUUGGGUUGUAAUUGAUCAAGUAUCCCACGAUUAAAAAGAACCGAGAAAGAUACCGUCUGAACCAUGCCCAUAACUAUUUGUACCCAUGUAGGAGAAAACCCCAAUUUCAACAUCGUGGCUUUAGAAUAGUCCCACUCCAACCUAUCAUAUGCCUUCCUCAUAUCGAGCUUCAAAGCAUAGUAGCUACUAACUUUUUCCCUCGCUGCAUUUCAUGAAAUGUAAGAACUCAUAUGCACUAAUAAUAUUAUCCGUGAUCAUUCUUCCAAGGACAAAAAUUGAUUGCUCCUCAGAUAUGAUAUCAGGAAAAAUUUGCUUCAAUCUAUUUGCAAUAACCUUGGAAGCUAUCUUGUAUAAAACAUUGCACAACUGAUAGGCCUAAAUUUUGUUAAGAGGGUUUGGUUUUUUACCUUUGGAAUCAAAACCAGAAUUGUAUCAUUGAUGCAUUCAGGUCUAUCUUCCCCUCUCACGAUUGUCAAAACCGCCUCUAUUACUUCUUUACCACAAAUAUCCCAAUGAUGCUAAUAAAAAUGGGCAGGGAACCCAUCAGAGCAUGGAGCCUUCAUUGGGAACAUUUGAAAUUGUGGCACCCUGGCUCAGAGUAACCGGUUUACCUUGCAUUGACAGCCCAGAGAUCAAGUCUUCUGGCAACACAUAACAACUUGGUACAUACAUAACCGCUUUAUUGAUCUCUUGCGGAUACAUAGGUUUGAUGAUUACAUAAGAAAGCGAGGCCAAGCGGCACACACGGUGCGACUCCACUAUGUACAUUAUCUAUUAAACAUCUCAAGGGCCUUGAUGCUAGAGGAUACAACUACUCAGUAGCGAAACAAUGAGCUAGCAGAACUCCAUGCCACAAGGACACUACUAGGACACAGCCUAGAUCGUGAAGUACCGAUCAACCUCAACUCCUUGCACGGUUUCUCCUGCAUCUGGCAUGACGCACCAGGUGGGUACUUUGAAUGUAGUCGCAAGCUCACAGCAAAAAUGACAAACAAUAACAUGGAAUGAACAAAUUAAACAUGAUCAUUAGCAUGAUGUUACCAAUCGCAGUGUGCAAGAGUGGAAUACCGUCAUGGUCCCUUGGACCAACUUACCCAUCUCAAGGGUUACCUCGUAACCACCAUUGAUAGCAACCAUACCAUCGUGAUCAACACACGAUCACCUCAAGAUCAACUGACUUCUUCUUGUGCAAGCUCGAGGUUCAUAAGUGUGCAAGUUAAUUAUUUAUCUUGACCCAUAGUGUGACCUACUACAAACUGUGUCCAUAACCGAGGACGUGGCUAUCGAUAGAUUAUACACUCUACAUAGGCUAGUACACUGUACCCACACUAUGGAACUCAUGGCCUCAUGCUCCCAUUCGGGUGGACUAACGAGGUUCCAACAAAACCAAUCUAUUAUAUACACUCUCCCGACCACUCCGAAAAACUCCUGUCUGGGCUAUGCCAUGGGUCACCCCUAUGUCAACUCGUGAAUCCGCCACCUUUGUGGCCGCCACCGCCGUGGCCAACCAAACUUUAUCGUCCCAAACGGGGACCUCGAUACUAUAAAACUUGGGCUCAAAAGGUUAUUGACGCCUACUGGGCUAGGGUAGCACGUGCACAUAACAUUCCCUCGUUAGAGGCACCGGCGAGAGGCAUGAUAAUAGAGCGAAUUAGAACAUCCUCAUCCAAGAAAGUGUGGUUGCACUAGUGAGCUCGAUUCGGUGGCACUAUGACUCUAUUAAUAGCUUUGAUCAAGUUUGAUUAUAGUCAAGUUUAACUUGAAUGAAAAUGAUUCGAGCCAUAGAAUGCAAUAGGGUGCAUGAUAGUGAGCUAAAUGGUGGAUGAAUCCUAACUUAACCAUAUAACAUUUACUCUACUGUCUACAACAUACAUAUGACAUGGAAAUUAGCAUUGUUUGACAUGAAAAAUAAUAACAAACAACAAUGGUUAUCGUGUUAUUAUCUCUCAAUGCGCCAGGGGAAAUAAAAAAUUGCGGGCGUGCCAGUGUACUAAGUACACAAAUAAACAGAGGGAAACAUGCACUUUAUUAAUCUCUCAGUGGAGAAACAAAAUUACAAGAUCCCUUUACAUAUGCGCUCCGUGGCCUACUAGCGCGGCCUGCCUGACUGUGGCGAUUGCGGUCUCCUGGUUCCCAGGGCCUCGGAAGGCUCCCGGUUAAUUACUCCCGCGGGUUGCUUCGCGAGAUACCUUCAAUUAAGCUGUGUGGUCGUCUUCGUUGUCUUCGCUUCUCGUCCUCCAUGCAUGAUGAUGGUGAUGUGUGUGUGGGCAGCGGCAGAGCCCGUGUCCUCGUCGGUACACACGCCGCAAGUGGCGUGGUCUUAGCGGUGGCCGCGCCUGCCCUGGCCGUCGUGCCUCGUCGGUCUUGGCGGCGUUGGAGUAGUUGGUGUUGGGGUAGCAUGGGUCGCGGUCGGCUCAGACUUCUUGAUGACAUGUUGCUUCAUCGGGGUGUUCAAGAGGCUACGCCUUGCGGGAGUAACAGUUUGGGGAGACCGGCGUCAGUGUAAAAACUAACGGACACACGCUCACAUUGGCGUGGCCGGGGUGGUUGGCGCCUCAUCUUGACUAGACGCCAAGUAUUUGGCGGUCUGCCAAGGCAAAGGCGCCGCCUCACAGGGCCGUGGAAAGUGGUGUCGCAAAGGCCGCAUCGCCUUGGGCUGGUACUACGUGAAAGAGUGACCUGUGCGCCGGCGAUGCCAUGGACCUAUACACUAAGGACCUGUCCGCCAUGGUGGGUGUGCCUCUCGAAGGAGGGACUAUCUUGGACAGCGUCGUUGCAACAUUCGUUUCAGUGAAGGAUCUGUACGCCAUUGACCUGUUCGUCGGGGACGCGGGCCUCAUGAAGGAGGGACCGGUCUUAGACCCGUCGUUGCGGAUAUUGGUUCCACCAAGGAUCUGUACGUCGUGAUGGGAAAGGCGGGGGCUGCGUUGUCGGCGAGCUCCGGUUCCGCCGCACCGUCCCCUCCAAGAGUGUGACGCAAAACCUGUCCACCGUGGCCUUGUUCGUCGCAAUCUGUGCGUUAUGAAGGGAAAAGCGAGACUCGGGCUGCGUCGUCAGCGAGCUCCGGUUCCGCCAUGCCGUCUCCUCCAAGAGCGUGAUGCAAAACCUAUACGCCUGUGUAUCCUUUGCCAUGAACCUGUUCACAAUGGCCCUGUUCGUCGCAAUCUGUGCGUCGCGACCUGUACACCAUGGGCUAUUCGCCGAGCGCCAUGAAGGCCGCCAUGGUAGAGCGCCGGGGCUAGCGGUUGGGCCGCGUCGUUGGCGAGCUCCGGCAGCUCCCGAGUCAUCUCCAGCCAAGAACAUGACACCUGAAAAUAAAAGGCUUGGCGUAGACGAUCUCCGGCGGUGUCAGUGCAGUCUACUGUUUCGGUGCAGUCAUCUCCGGCGGCGGCGAUGGGAUCACACGAGGGUCAUCUCCGGUGACCGGCACAUACUCUCCGCGUAGCGAAUGCAUGCUAGAGAGGAGACAGAAGAAAAUAGAUGUAUUAGAUCAAAAUCUCACCCUUCGGGAACAUAAGCUUGGUGUCCAUGUCGCUGGCGCUGGUGUUCUCGCCCGGCUGCGUUGGCCCGUCGAUGCUAUCUGGUCUUCUGCCUGGUGAGUUAUGGUGGAUGAAGUGCAGCGUGAUGGAUGAGUACGAUCUAUGUGGGCGCUCGCAAAUUGAUGUGCAGCCUUGCGGCGUGGGUUCUCCCUCUCUGGCCGUGCGUGCGUGUGCAGGGCGACGGCGUCUACGCGUGCGUGCCUCUCUCCUCGUGCCUUUUUUUCCUGCGAAUGGCCUUGUGCCUCUUUAUAUAGGCAGCGGGGUGGGAGCUGGCGAUGCUCAGCCAAGGCCACGGCCUAGAUAUGGACUGUAACCAAUCCAUCUAUCUUCGCUGCUUAUCAUUUCAUUAUUUUUCUUGGCGCACACUUCUGCCAAAAACAAAACAAGACCGAACCAAAUAACACACGUACAUGGCUGGCUGUAGGUGGGCCGAUUCGACUGCCGAAAAUAUGACUCUCUGGCCGUCUCCAAAGCUCACCCAUUUGUAAUUUAUUUUAUACAGAUUAUACGGGUAUUCGGGUAUGUAUGCAUGCUUGCCGGCCGGUACAUGGGUAUUCAGAUACGCAUACGAUCCGACCGAGACGUCUUCUGGGACGUGAACUGCACCAAGUCUUACAUCUACCUGAUUAACUCGUGAGUAGCCUAGCUCAUACCAGGCAUGUGAUUGGCAAAACAAAUACACUUGCAUGCAUGCAUGGUACGUCAAGCGAACCUAGUCAAAUAUGUGCAGGCAUGUACGUGUACAUCCAAAUAUCAACAUGGACGUGUAACUUGCACUAAAAUAAAUUGCAUUUAGACUUAGAUUUCUGAAAGCAAGAAGCACAAAAACACCUCAAACAAGCAUAAUGUAAAAAGUAGCAUGCAGGUAAUAGUUUAAAUUCAUAAGGCAUAUAAGUAAUCUAUAUUCAAUUGGAACCAAAUCCAUUGCAAUGCCAUCUUGCAAAUGAAUGUUGUGGCUUGCCUUAGUUCAGAGGAGUGUCACGAUACUCCUGGUCUUCUCACAUAGAAUUAGUUUCUUCUAAAAAUAAAUUUCAUAACAAAAAGAAAAUGUCACAUAAAGCUUUUUCUAAUACCAUAAAUUCUAGACAGCAAGGGAUAAUCUCAAAUUGCACCAACAUAAAGUUCAGCUCAUGACGAAACUAUAGCAAAAAGUUCAACUCAUUUGGACUUUUGGUUUAGAAAUCAUAGCUAGUCAAAGUUUGGGUCAAAAUCUAAUUUUAAAUUGAAUUAACAGAAAUUCUAAGGAGGGCCACGUCGAAGGCGUUUUUGCUAGGGCGCCUCCAUAGAAAAUGAUUCGGGGGGAAGAGAGAAGCUUACCAGUAUGGUCCCCGUGUUAGGUUUAGGAGAGAGAAGGAGAGAGAGAGAGAGAGAGUAGAGGUGGGCGGCUAUUGCCAAUGAUCCUCCUGUGAGGAGACCAUGGCGGCUGUCGGCGAUGGUCGUGAUGGGUUCAGAACAGCGUGGGGAGCACGCACGUCCCCCUUGCUUGGUCGGAGGUGGACGAACGGCGAGGCUGGCUUCCUCUCCAGAGAAGAUGGGCAAUCGAGCUCAUCGGAGUCGGUGUUCCCGAUAUUGUUCCGACUGAUCAACUACACCGUCGUGCUCUAGAGAUCAAUACGAGCUCGCCUGAAGAAGUCGUGGAAGCAGAGGAGGGCAGGACCGAGAGAAUGGUCUAGGGGGAUCCGCAGGCAACUCCAGCGAUGGUUGAAGACAGGAGGCCCUCCUAGCCUUGCCCCGCUCGUCGGUGGUCAACUUGUGGCCAGUGGAGGAGUGGUGGAUAGUUUGACCAGCUAGGGAGGGGUCUAUUUAUAAGAGAGAGGGAGAUGCCGAGCACCGAGCACCGCCAUGAGGAAGCUAGCGGAGCUCUGGCGAGGCGUGUAGCUCGGGCACGGGUGGUGAAGUGACUAGAGUGGCACGGGGUGAUGUAGAUGCAUGCGGGCAAAGCUAGGGCGCGCGAUGUGGGUCAGGCGACGCACUAACGCACACUAUUCCCGCACGGGCACGCCGUGUCCGCGUCCGGCGAGCCUCUUGCCGACGUCGGGAAGGACUUGGAGCUGGCCAAGUGGAAGAGGAGAGCAAGUGAGGCGGCGCGGGCAAGCUGUAGUGUCGCAAGGGCGGCAUUUGGGUGACGGCCGAGGGUCCCGGCGUCCAGAGCGCGCGCAUUGCAUGUCGAACAACUGCAUCCCGCAUGGUCACUGCAUGAAGUGGCACACGCGGGACUUUAGGCCAACAGGCCAAAAACCAGGGUGUCACAGAGAAAGAGUGCAUUUUUGAGUUCCUCGAGUGUGUAAGGGGAAACUAGCAUAUCAUUCAUCUCAGUUGUGACCUUGCUUGGGACAUUUUUUUAGUAUUAUAUCCAUAUAACUUACACCCUCAGAUGUAUACAGAGAUUUGUAGAAUUCAUGGACCAUGUUUUUCAACUCCUUCGAUCCUCCGCCGUUACACCAAGAGAAUUCUGCAAAGCUUUGGUCAUAUUUUUCUUCCUCGAGAUGCUAGCCUGAAGAUGGAAAAGCUUCAAGUUUUUGUCUCCCGAAGCCAACCACUCAGGUCUUGCUCGUUGCCGCCACAUCACCUCCUCACGAUGGUACAUCUCUACUAAUUUUUCAUUGAUUUUUAGCUCGGCGUGAGUGGGAACCGUCCUGUUUGGAUCAGACCAAAGCUUUUCUGAUUCUCGCUUUGUUUUGAUCUCCUUGCAUACACUGCCAAAUGUAUCAUUGUUCCAGCGCAAGAGACGGCUGCCAACUUCGUACUCAACUCGUUUGUUCCGAAGGUGGUACCCGAUGCAGCCAUGUCGUGUUAAUCAUAUCACCCCAUUGCUCAUGUCCUUCCCUCAUAACCUCGUAAAACGGUCUUGCCCUUGUGUUUGUUGGGAAACGUAGUAGAAAACAAAAAAGUGCCUCUACGCACACCCAAGAUCAAUAUGAAGAUGCAUUACGUGUUGAGGUCAUGAUUAUUGCCGUCUCCGUGUUGCAGCAGAAAAAUAACGUGUCAGUUUAGAUCAUACUUGGAGUCCCUUGAACCUUCGAGGAACAAUCCCGCAAACCGCUGACGAACAAUGCCUCGAAUUGAAGACUGAAAGCACAGUCUCUCUACUUGUUUGCAAGCGUGCAACCUUCAUGACCUGGUAGCGCUUCGCCGUUUACUCUUGUCUACUUACACUGAGCUAAAGCAACUCUAAUGGUGUUAAAUCUUGCAACAAGAGUAAGAAAGAUUCUUCUUCUAAUAGUAACAAUAAUCAUGCUAAACCCAAUGUUGUUGCUUCUAGUAGUUCUCUUGAGUCCACUAAUGAUCCUCUUAGCCAAGUUACAUUUGAUCAAGAAAAUAGCUAAUUAAAGGGAAUUAUAGAGAAAGGUGUUUACAAGAGCCUUGCCGGAAGUAAGCAAUUUGAGGAAAUUUUAUGCAAGCAAGGAAGACACCGGAAGAAUCAAGGAAUUGGUUUUGAAUGAAGGUUUAAUGCCAAUGGAGUUGAGUGGGAAGAAGAUCAAUACCACAAGAAGAAGUUUGUUCCUCAACAAAAGAAGUAUGAUCCUACUUCUUUCCAAGGAACACAAGCUCAAGAUGUUCUUCCACCACAAGACCACAAGCAAAAAGGCAAGGACAAGCUUCAAGAGGAGAUUGAUGCAUUUGAAGAAUCUCCCAAAGCCUUGGUCAAGUGGGUUCCCAAGACUACAUCAAGUUCAACUUCAUCGAGUACGACUACAACUCCAGGGGUUCCCAUCAAGAUGGUGUGGAUCCCGAAGAAAAAGAACUAGAGAGUUCUUGAGGGUGACUCCGCCAACACUUCACUCAUAUCUUUUGGCAAGGACACGUGCAAAAAACUUCCAUAUCUUGCACUAGUUCAAGGAGUCACAAACCCUCUUGUUGAUAAGACAAGGGACAAGGUAACCUAAUGCUUUCAUGGACAUCAUCUUAUGUGAACAUCACUCUAUGUCUAUGGAUAUCCUUGUUUGUUCCUUGUGGGACUAACCCGUGUAGGUAUUGAAAGUGCAACUCACUCUAAUGGAUUUCUCUAAAUGAUCUACAUCAACAUUGAGCAUCUACAUCUUCAACACCUACAUGAAUUCAUCAUCGACAAAACCCAAGGUUAGUUCAUCCCUCUUAGGGGGGGAUAUCACAUCUAGGUGGAGCUUUACUCUAAUCAAUUGAGCUAAAGGAACUCUAAUGGUGUGAACACAACAAUGCUUUAUAUAAAAGUGGCAACCCCACUUAUGCUUAAACGAUGAGUAUGACCUAUGAUCAAAUGUUCUCAUUUGACUCCUCAGUCAAUAUACUCAUAUAUGGAUGACCUAGUCAUCGCUAAUUGCUUGAUAGAUUCUAGAGUGUUUGUGCAUGCUCUGCCACAAAUUUCAUUUGUCAUUUUAUUGUGUGAGCAUGUUGGUUGCAUAUUUUACACAUUCGAGGACAUCUACUUAUUGUUUUGAUUGGUUGGCAUUUUCUCUUUUGCCAAGUGGAUGAACAAGAAGGCCUAAGAACCUCCUCUAGCUAUCUAUGCAUUUCUCGUCAGUUUGAUCAAGUUAAACUAGAACCACUCUGUGUGAGGAGCACUCAGAGUCCCCGAUUCGUCGUAGACUUAAAUUUCCAAAACCUCUUUGUGCAUUUCGGUAUGACCGAGUCAUCCACUUUGUUCACACCGAGUUCACUAAGUUAAUCUAGGUUUUCCAUCUCGGUGUAACCGAUUUGAACUUUUCACUCACAUCGAGUUGCAGUAACCGCUUGCGAUUCUGCAUCUCGGUGCCACCGAGUUGUUCCACUCAGUCACACCGACAGGGUCGGGAUAUAUAUACCGACGGGUUGAAUUUUUGAAAUUUCUCUAAAACACUUAACCCCGCACAUGUCCUGCUCUGCCUCCUCGGGUCUCUGGAUCGUCUCCUCGCCGCUAGUGACCUCCCGCCGCUAGUCUCUGUCGCCGUCAACGGAAUUCUGCUCCGCCGUUGUCGCCGUAGCGAACUCCCACCGAACUAGGGUAUGAGUUCGACUCUUUGUGCUAUUUCCCAACUCCGAUUCGUAGAACAUUACUUUGCCAUGAUAAUGACCAUGUAUGCAAACAAUCCAUCCACUAAAAACCUCCUUUAGAUUAGAUUGGUUUUGAAAAUUUAGGGUUAGGCCUCCGUCGGACUCAUCUCGGACCGACCGAAUUGUAGAAAUCGGUCUCACUGAUUUGGCUUAGGCCGUAGCACAUGCAUUUUCGGUCUGACCAAAAACUGCAAAUUGGUGUGACCGAGUUCGAUUCUCUGUGAAAUCCUAGCAGUCUUGGUGCCACCGAACUGUGACUCGGUCUGACCGAGUUCACUAGUUUAGGUUCCAAAAGUUGCUUCGGUAUCAUCGAGUUUAUCAAAUCGGUAGCUCCGAAAUGCUUUCUGUGGAGAACUAAAACUAGGUUAUUAAGUCAUUUGUUUUGCAAAAACUUUGGACUUUGUGAUGCUCAUCCACUCUACCUCAUCGACAUCUAUUCAUAGGGUUUGCUGUCAGUGAUUUCCAGGAUGUCUGACCAGAGUGACAGUCGGAACAAAUCUGAGGAACAUGUGAGGGUUCAGAUCCAUCAAGCACCUCAGAUGAUGGCAGCAGGAGCACUCCUAGUAACUUGCCAAAGGCAGCCACCAGGACAAGGAAGAAGAAAACCUCAGACUGUGAGGAUGAAGACUAUGUGGCUGUUGAGGAUGAGGCCACCUCAAAGAGGAAAGUGUUGAAUAAGGAGUAUGGCUCAGCUGGUACAACAGAGUCAGGGAUGCACAAGAAGGCUCCUACCAAGAGAAUGCCAACAUCCAAGCCUAGGAAAGCAGCCUUGGAAGAAAUUAUGGAGUUCACUCUUGAACCCAAAGAGGCUGGAGAAGGCAAGAAGAGAAAGGAGAGGGUCAAGAAGACCACUGCCAGAGUUCUAGGGAGAUCAUCCAUGUUCAAGGAUCCCGCGGAAGAAGAGGAAGAGGAAGAGGAUGCUCCAGCACCCAAAGCUCAGAAAAUUAUGGGAGAUGCAAUUAAGUCAAGGGCUGCAACAUCGAAGCCCAAGUCUGCUCCCAAAGCUCGAGCUCAGAAGUCAAAGCCCAAGGGAAACACUAGAAGUAUUCCUGCAGAAGAGAAGGACAAGGCCCAGUGCCUCAAGCUGAAGAAGAGGAUGAUGAGUCUCUUGUUUUGAGGAAAUUGAAACCCAAGAUCCUAGACCACAAUGAUACUCAUCUAGUGGCUGAAGACAUGCACAUCAGAAAAGAUGUUGGACUGAGAUUGUGGAGACAGUCUGAUCCCUAUGCUAUGAGGAGAAAGACUGCAAUUGACUACAUGUUCCACACAAAAGAAUAGCAAGACUUCUAUGAAACUAUUUUGCUUGACAAGAAACCCAUUGUUUCUGACAUGAUAUGGGUUGAUUGGGAAUUCAUCAAGGAUAAUGAAGAUCAUUUCCCAGGAGUAUAUGACAGCUUCAAAGCAUGUGGAGUAGAUGAGUUUGUUGGACAGAAGCUCACAAAAUGGAAUGAUGAGCUGAUCAUGCAGUUUUACUCCACUACUCAUUUUUACCCAGAUGGGAAGAUCAUAUGGAUGUCUGAAGGUACUAGGUACCAAUCCACUGUUGAAUAAUGGGCCAAGCUGAUCAAUGCCCCAGAGGAACAUGAGGAUGACUUGGAUGUGUAUGCCAAGAAGAAGAAACACCGCAACUCCAUGGCAAACAUGUACAAAGAGAUCCCUGAUAAAGCUUUGGAGACUCACAGGCUUGGAUCUGUACAUUACUUGAUGUGUGGUCUGCCUACCAUCAACUGGAUCCUAAGGCACACAUUACUACCCAAGUCAGGAGAUCACAAGAUGAUCAGAGGACAUUCCAUCAACAUGCUGCAAAUCUUUGAUGUCCCUCAGAAGUUCAAGGUCAUGAGUUUGAUUGUAGAGACAAUCAAGAGGACUGGUACUGACCAAAAGAGAAGUUGUGGGUAUGCUCCGAAUAUUCAGGAGCUCAUCAAUUCUAAGAUGGGCACAGGAACAUACUUGUUGGACAAGGAGCAUCUACCCCUUUAUCCUGAAUUUGAAGACAACACAGUUGUGAUGAAUGAGGAGGAACCAUCUUCAGUACAAGCACAAGAGAAGUGAGCCAAAGCUAAGGCAGAGAAAGCUGCAAGGAUGCCAAGUGCAGAAGAAGCAUCUCAGGUGUUCCUCAAGUCAAAACAAGAUCAAUUAGGCUAUCUGUUUCAAGCUGCACUAAGGAUUGAGAAGGGCUUGGCCACCCUGACUCAGAAUCAGGAGAGCCUGGAGAGGAUUGUUGAGACAAAAUUCUAUGACCUUGACCUCAAGGUAACUGAGAUAUAGACUGUAGUUGAGCAGCUCCAGGAGGAAGCAGAAGAGAGGAGAGGGAAGGCAACUACUGAUGCUUUUUAGCAUGUGCCACGAGGUCAGAGGUCUACCGCAGUGCCAGUACCAGUCUCUAGAACUACUCUGUUAGCACCAGCAGCUACAGCCUCAGUACCACCUCCUACAGCCACUCCACCAGCUCCAACUACAUCGACAGAUGCCUUCGUCCUUGGAGUUCUCUCUACACCACCUCCCGAAGACCGAGCCUGAGAGACGCAUAGCACUAUGCAUUUUCAAACUUUUUGGUAACUUCUUGCCAAAGGGGGAGAAAUAUGUAUAGAUAAUAGGCUUCAAGAGAGUGUGUGUUGUUUUUUAUCUCUCUUGUUUUUGGUUGAACCUUUUUAUGCGCUUGGUUGAUACACUAUGUCUUUGUCUGUGUGAGAUACUUGUUUGAUCAUGUGUUUGAUCAUAUGCUACCUUAAUGCUUGCUUGAUUGAUAUUAUCUGUUAUAUUCUUAUAUGAUCAUUCACUUUGCUUGGUGAUGAGUGCAUGCUUUUAAGUUAUAUCAUUUUGAGCGCUCCACCAAGAUGUAUGUGACAUGGAAGAGUAACUCAUGAUCCUAAUCGAUUGUGCAUUUGCAUUCAAAAGAAAAUUUUAAAUAAUGCACAAAUUUAGGGGGAGCUCUUGCUUAUCACAUACUUCUCAAAGUGACGAUGUAUUUCAAUCUUAUAAUCAUUUGUUGAAGCUUUGAUCUAUAUGUUGUCAUCAAUUACCAAAAAGGGGGAGAUUGAAAGUGCAACUAUCCCUGGGUGGUUUUGGUAAUUCCUAACAACAUAUAGCUCAUUGAGCUAAUACUAUUUCAAGAUAAAUAUUUCAGGAAAGCUCAAUGAUUGGCAUGGCAUGGAUUAGAAAUGUGGACCCCUCAAACUGCUAAGGACAAAAGAUUGGCUCAAGCUCUAAAGCUCGAGACUCUACAUCUUACCUUUUAGUGAUCCAAGAUCACAUUGAGUCCAUAGGAAAAGCCAAUACUAUUAAAAGGGGAUGAGGUGUUGCCUAAUGGGUUACUUGCUAAAAUGCUUAGUGAUAUGCUCCAAAACCCUUAACCACUUUCUCAUAUCCACAUUUGUCCCAAACCAAAAGUCAAACUCGGCCCCACCAAAACUUUCCAUCCAGCACCACCGAGUUCAGUUGACAUAGCCACUGCCACAAAACCCUAGUCUUUUCAGUCUCACCGAUAGGAUCUCGGUCUCACCGAGAUGGGAUUGCAAACUCUCUGUUUCCCUUCGUAAUGUUUCGGUCUAACCGAGAUGAGCGAUCGGUCCCACCGAGUUCACAAUGCAAACUCGGUGUUUCCCCAUCCGAACGUUUCGGUCCAACCGAGAUGAGCAAAUCGGUCCCACCCAGUUUGCCUGACCAACUCUCUGAUUAGCUUAUUACCAAAAUCGGUCCCACCGAGUUUGUGUAACCAGCCUCACCGAGAUUACGUUAUGACCUAACCCUAAUGAAAUCGGUCCCACCGAGUUUGUGUAACCAGCAUCACCGAGAUUACGUUAUGCCCUAACCCUAAUGAAAUCGGUCCCACCGAGUUGACGUGUCGGUCCCAUCGAAAAUCCUAACGUUCACAUUUUGAACUGAAUCGGUCCGACCGAGUUUCACGAUUCGGUCUCACCGAGUUUGGUAAAUUGUGUGUAACGGUUAGAUUUUGUGUGGAGGCUAUAUAUACCCCUCCACCCACUCUUCAUUCAUGGAGAGAGCCAUCAGAACAUGCCUACACUUCCAACAUACAUUUUUUGAGAGAGAACCACCUACACUUGUGUUGAGGUCAAUAUAUUCCACUCCAACCACAUAAAUCUUGAUCUCUAGCCAUCUCUAAGUUGCUUUCCACUCAAAUCAUCUUUCGACCAAAUCCAAAUCAGUGAGAGAGAGUUGAGUGUUGGGGAGACUAUCAUUUGAAGCACAAGAGCAAUGAGUUCAUAAUCAACACACCAUCUAUUACCUUUUGGAGAGUGGUGUCUCCUAGAUUGGUUAGGUGUCACUUGGGAGCCUCCGUCAAGACUGUGGAGUUGAACCAAGGAGUUUGUACGGGCAAGGAGAUCGCCUACUUCGUGAAGAUCUACCCUAGUGAGGCAAGUCCUUCGUGGGUGAUGGCCAUGGUGGGAUAGACAAGGUUGCUUCUUCGUGGACCCUUCGUGGGUGGAGCCCUCUGUGGACUCGAGCAACCAUUACCCUUCGUGGGUCAAAGUCUCCAUCAACGUGGAUGUACAAUAGCACCACCUAUCGGAACCAUGCCAAAAAUCUCCGUGACUACAUUGCGUUUUCUCCCUCCAAACUCCUCCCUUUACCUUCGUGUGCAAUGUUUUACAUUCCGCUGCUAUACCCUUAGACUUGCAUGUGUAGGUUGUUUACUUGACUAGUGCUAAGUUGCUAAAAUCUGUCAAGACUUAAAAUUGGGAAAAGGCUAGUGUUUUAUUUGGUCAAGUAGUCUAAGCACCCCCCCUCUAGACAUAAUUUCGAUCCUACACACUGGGAUUCUACUUAUGAGGAUUAGAGGAUCUAGGUCUAGCUCUAAUUAGAUCAACUAGGAUCAACUAGAACUAGAACUAAAGGAAACAUGAGGAUGCUCCAAACUUGUAUAUGUCCAUAGAGAAAAAAACCCUGGUAUAUAUAGGUUGGAAGGGAGGGAGAGGGCAGCCAUGGAGGGAAAGUCUCUCCUUGGGGCGCCUCCCCCGCCCUCCCACCCACAUACACACACACACACGAGGAAGGGCCGCCAGUUCCUAUUGGGCCAAGUUGGCCCGAUGCUCCUUCCCCGGUUUGGCCUUUUAAUGACCGUUUGUAUUAAAUUUAUUAUAAAAUCCUUCCAAUAAAUAAUAGACCCUUUAUAUAUCAUUUAACAGCCCUGGAAACAUUUUACACCUAUAUAUUAUUUAACAGUAAUACCCUAUAUUAGUCGAUACUCUCCGAAACCCUUUCGGUGACCCCGAAACGCUUACGGAUAUUUAUGAAACAAUUCCACAAACAUAUACUAAUCAUUCCCAUCCUACUAACACUUAGCAGAUCAUAAUUGCCUUAAGCUUGUGACCCCGUAGUUUCGGUAACUCAUAGACAUGAACGAAACCCCUUUGCUCAAUGACCGAUAGCGGAAACGUGGACGUCCAUAUCGAUCCCUAUGAGCACACGAAUGAUAUUCAAGUGAAUAUUUGGUUAUCAUGUGAUGUUCCCUUUGCUUCGCAAUAUUUCACAAAACCCAGGAUACAUCGGUGUCCUCCUGAGUCAUCACAUGCUCACGAUACCAUUAUCCCCGUUACUGGUUUUGUUCUUCUUUCUCGUUGUCGUGUUCCAGCAUCCUCGUGACGUAGUCACAUGUGUCGUGCCAGACGAUGAUUGAUACCAUCACACCGAGAGGGCCCUAAUAAUAUCUCUCCAUCUUCAUAGGAGCCAAUCCCACUCUCAGGCUAUCUAGUCCCUUGUCAAACUUUCUCAUGAACAUGUAAGUUGUCAUUAUGAUCACCAUGUCACAGGUGACGUUUGAGCAACACCAAAGUCCACCGUGCGGUAAGAAGUGAUUACGAUACUCUCAUGGUCUAAGGAGAAAAAUCACACGUUAACAGUCUGUGUUGUUACAAUUGAUUACAGACGAUAUAAUUUCAAUUUGUUACACACAAAUUUUGGUCGAUUCAAUAUGAUCGUUCUUCUAACAUCACACUCUAAAUGUUGUUUUAGGACUAUCGUUACACUUAGAGAUAUCCUAAGAUCUGGAAAACAUGAUCACCAACAACACUUGAGCCAGUCUUAGAGGCAAGAUUGGGAACCUAUUCUUUACCGUUUAUCAUUCCACGCGUGCAUAUGAGUUUUCCACUAAGUCGCCUAUUCCAGUAUCAUGGUAGUUAUAGCAUGAAAUAUACACUCUUAAUUAUGAAAAUGAAAUUAUAAUAAUACAAUAUUAUUGUCUCUAGGGCAUAUUCCCAAUAGUGUUGUGUUGUUGUUGCCGAUGCAAAGUCCACCAAUAUCGCGUCAUGAUCUGAAGUCACGACUGUCAAGUGAGUUUAAUCAGCAAGUGAAACCUUUACUGCCAGUCCACAGAAACCAGCACUCGGUCUAGGCGCACCAUUGUGAAAGUACCACCUGUAACCUUCAUCUCAAAGGUCGGGCCUGAGUAACCAGCAUGCAAACAUCAACCUUUUCUUGAAAAGCUUGGAUCUGCACACUGCUACGUUGUCUAACUCCUUCGUGCUCAUCCGGAUGUAGAACAUCAUUGAAAUUGCCCAAGCAAAGCCAUGGGAGAUUGCUGGAAGUACUAAUGUUUUUAAUAGUAUCCCAUGUUUGGUGCUUCAAGUGGGUAUGAGCUUCACCGUACACUAUUGUAACUCUCCAAGGAUCAAGGCUUGGUUCAAGAAUGGAGCACUCAACAUGAUACACAGAGUAACCCAGAAUAUCUAUUUUAUUUCAUUAUUCCAGAAAAUGCCAAUACCGCCAUUGCUUCCCUGGCUAUCAAUCGCAUAUCCAUUAUCAUACCCUAAUGUUCCUGCUAAAGAUUCUACCCUCGAGACUCUUGUUGCGUUUCUACUAUGUAGAGGAUGGCGGGGGAAAAUUUCCUUGUGAAAUCACAAAGCUCACUGACUGUCGUGGCUCUGGCCGAACCACAACAAUUCCAGCGGAAGACACACAUUGGACAUGGCGGCACUCCCCUCGGGAGCCUAACAAUUUUUCCAUUGGGUUUUUUGUGUUGCCAUCGUUCUUGUGCAACGUGUUCUUAUCUGCUGCAAUUACUUGUCCUUGAGAUGUUUUGUUCCUGCCGAGACGAGGGGCUCGAUGGGAUUUGAGGGGAAGGUAGUGUCGGUGUUUUGCCUUGGGCCGACAUAGUUGUUAUGGCUAACUCAGCUGCCACUGGAUCAACUGUCGCUGCGAGCUCUGAAGUUCGGUUUUUGUUCAGUUCGGCCUUGUGCACAUAGGCAGCAGGGUGCUCAUACUCUGAUUCCCCGCUAGCUUCCUCCUGGGUGCACCCUGGUCCAUGACCGGUCCUGCCACAAAGGCCACGGCCUCGCCCUCUCCCUCCUCCAGGUCCUCUUCCCACUGCCUUGAACCAGCUAGCUCGCAGAUUUUUGAAAACUAGGGCUAACGGUGGAUGCACUCCAUCCCGACAUUCCUUGUACAUGUGGCGCAAAUAACAACAAACCAUGAAUGACUCUGGUAGCCGCUCAUAUGUGACUGUGAAGACCAUAUGUUCAUACACAUUUAACAUUUUUCAAAUUCUUGAGUUACAUUUUUUCAAAUACGUGUUCAACAUUUUUUUCAGAUACUUGUUCAUCAUCUUUUGAGCAUAUGAUCAACAUUUCUUCCAUACUCCCGCCGUCCGGUGAAAGGUCUACAUAUACAAAUUUUAGGACAAAUAAAUGAGUGGAGUAAAAAAUGCAUUGGGAAGAGGCAAGUCACCAUCUCUUUUUUUAAUUACCAAAACCCCAAUGAGUUAAGUGUAGAAUGUUAUUGGUCUUGAUUACUGUGUGAUGACAGAGAAGCAUUUUUUCUACUUUCAUGUGCAUUGGGAGGAUAGAAGUACACUCUUUUGUGGACAAAAUUUAAAGCCAAACGUACACCCUUCACCGGACGGAGGGACUACACAGUUAACAUUUUCCAUAUGAUUGUUUAACAUUUAUUAAAUACAUGUUCAACAUUUUUUCAAAUACUUGAUUAAAAUUUGUAUACAUAUUAUAAAAAAUUCAUCAUUUUUUUCUUACAUGGUCAACAUUUUCCUAUACACAUUCAACAUUUUCAAAUGCAUAACUAUUUUUAGAAAAAACUUUAUGUAGAGUAUAUUUUUGUCAUAUAUAUCUUUAGAGUAUUUGGAGGCGUAAAUGAAAGUAGAAAUCAAAAAAGGAAUAGCAGAUCAUUAAUACCAGGAAUAUUCCGAAAACGACAACAAUUUAUCCUCAUCAUUGAUAUUAAUCGGGAUACCGGUAACUCCGGUACACUAAACGCAACUAAACUCGAUUCUUCUAAUUACGCCUAUGGGGCAGUGCAACCGACAAAUAAGAAUCAUUCGCCUGGUAUAAUAAACAGAUCUGAAUCGCACGACAUUGACUUAGCGGGCAAACAAAUAUAGAGUUAAAAUAAGCGGGUGGAAGAGAGAGAAAGGGUUUAUGAUGGUCAUCACCUGGAGGUGCACCGCAUGAGCUGCUGCGUCAGGGCUUCCACCUCGUCAAUGUCCACUUCGGGCUCCGCCCUGCGAUUUCCAGAGCAGAUAAUUAAGAUGAGUCAGUACCGAGACAGAGAGCAGAGGGAGAGAUGAUAGAGGGCGUGGGGGCGGACAUCAGGAUGUCGAUGCCGUCGAUGAUCUCGGAGGCGUCGUAGAUGAAGAGGCGGGAGACCUCGACGGCGGUGCCCUUGUCCCACAGCUCCUCGAAUGUGUCCUCGUCCACGACACCCUGGAUCAACGUCGACCACGGCAAGGCAAACUCAUAGGCCAAGUCAGGCCAAAUUCCACAACCACACGACUAGAGGGGGGGAGGGGCCUCACCUCCGUGUACAUGCCGGUGAUAUGGGCGUUAAGCUGGGCCCUACGGUAUGAUGUUCCAGCGAUCAUCGUUGGACCUGUAAUUGGCGACUUAAUUAGCCCAGACUUUUCGUACCAAUGCAAAUACACCUAAGCCGAGAGAUGCUCUUCACGCUGUCUCGCGAACCGACAGCUUUGUGAUCCCUCGAUGUGACCUUGCAGACCAUCCCUUCUGUUUUGCCCCUCCUCCGGCUACUGCUUGUGGUGCCGUCGUACUCUUAUAAGAAGGCCACGCUGAAAUUUCAGACCGAAAAGACCUGUUUAACAUGCCCAAAUAUGGUGAUUGGCUACACUCUGGGUACAACAACCAACAACAAGACUUGUUUGUAGAGAAAAACAAAUAGAACAUACAACAAAACAAAGUCACUAGAGGACAAACCAGCCAGGUAUAUGUUUUAUAAACAGCCCAUAGGAAGGGCGGCAACACAUCCACGUCACACUAGAAUAUGGACUUCACACCGACAUCAACACACGACAACAGUUUCCGUUCACAGGGUUACGAGCCCAAAGUUCCGACACGAGAAUAUUCAUCUAAGCUUUACGCGCACCCUUUAAAAACCGCUACAUCAGCAGAGACACAUGGAACGCAUAAUGAAAGGGAUUGCAUGGGGCCACACUCUUCCCCCUUCACUUGCCGCUACUUAGGAGUUAGGACCACAUGCCGUGAUCUGCUCUUCGAGCUGCAUCAAAAGAUGAAUAAUAGGUCAAUGAUUAAGAUAAGUCUAUGGCACAUAAUGAUGCUCAAGUCACGUGGUCUCACUAAUCAGCCUUGUUACAAGUUAGCUAGUUUCUUAUUUGGGCAUUUGGCGAAGCUUAAUUUAAGCUGGGAAACAAAGAAUUUCUACCACUUUUUUUAGCUACCAUGUGCAUCUACCAAGCAUGAUGACAAAAUUACCACAUAAUCAUUUAACGGCUAAAUGAGACUUUUCGGUACCUUAAACUAAGUGAUCCAAAUCUAAAUGUCAAAAGAAUUAGAAUAAGGAUUAAAGAUUGUUCCCUUUUCUCUAUCUUAAUAUGACCAAUCUAUGAGUUAUUAAACUAGUGGGAAUUUGGUAUCACAAUCCAACAUUAGGGACAUAAGAUGCUACCUGCAUCAUGAUCUCCAACUCAUGUCGCACAAUAUAGAACUCAUUCCUAACAAGAGAAAAUGACACAAGACACCUGAAAUAAUGCAAAAAUACCACAUUGUCAGAUUCUGAAGAGGUUAACAGAAUUGAGAUGAAAUGGUUCUAAAAUUGUAACCCUAUACUUCAAAAAGGAAAAAUCUCUAGCCAUAUAUGAAUUUAGUUGUGCUAUAAACAGAGGUCUAGAGCGAAUAAAUUACAAGAGAACCAUCAAAGUGUAGCAUAUUCAGAUAAUGAACCGAGUAAUAUCAACAACGUGACUGCAGAUGAAGUGAAAAAGCAAAUCAGGUUACUUCUAAACAACGUUAGAUUGGUAUGAGCUGAAAAUAACGACAGAAAAGACAACAUGAGCUGGCAGGUUUACAUAGAGACAUUGAAAAACAAUGUUGCGAAUAAGUAUUGUGUAACAAUAUUUAAUAAGUUGUUGAGUUCUGACCCUUGUUUGCAUUGUAUGGCAUAGAAAUUGCCGAAGUGCAUGCAGGCGAGGUUCACUUGCUGUGCACCAACACUGAAACAUGCAAAAAAAAUGCAGAUCGGGAAAUUAGGAACUUCGCAAACUUAUUAUAAACUGAGACGUCAACUCAAUAAUAUUCUCAAGGAGCCAUUUCCUAUCAUGAUUGUCAACUCCAUAAAUUGUUUGAUGAACCAGAAAAAAACACCAUUGCUGUUAUGUGCAAUAGCAGAUCAGUAGUACCAGAAAUAUUCAGAAAAUGACAAAGUUUUUCUUGACGAACCAUGAAAUUGUCAUGAAUACCGACAAUUCCGUUACACGAGACACAACUACAAUCAGGUCUUCUAAUUUUGGAUAUACAACACCCGAAUCACGUCCAUGACGUACACACCCUGCGCCUGACAAAUCUGAAUAGAAACAACACCGUUCCAAUGGAGAAACAGAAAAAUGGCCAUUGGCAUUAUGUAGAAUUGCAGAUCAUUAAUAGUAGAACAAACGUUUACAAAACGAAAAAAAAUACCCUCGCCAAGCUAUACGAUUUGAUUGACAUUGGGAAGAAUACCAACAAUUUCAUUACACGAUAUAUGACUAAACUCAGCUCUUCUACCUAUGGCUAUACGAGCCUGUAGAACGACACAAACCUCAAUUGUGCGGCCGUGUCGUGAGGCACGCACCCCGUGCCGACACAUCCAAAUAAAAAACAACAUCAAUGCUGUGGACAAACUAGAAAAAAAACACCAUUAGAGAUACAUAGGAUAGCAGAUCAUUAAUACCAGAAAAACCACCAUUAGUAAUACACAGAAUAGCAGAUCAUUAAUACCAAGAAUAUUCCGAAAAGGACAACAAUUAAUCCUCAUCAUUGAUAUUAAUCGGGAUACCGGAAACUCCGCUACACUAAACGCAACUAAACUUGAUUCUUCUAAUUACGCCUAUGGGGCAGUGCAACCGACAAAUAAGAAUCAUUCGCCCAGUAUAAUAAACAGAUCUGAAUCGCACGACAUUGACGCAGCGGGCAAACAAACAUAUAUAGAGUUAAAAAUAAGCAGGUGGAAGAGAGAGAAAGGGUUUAUGAUGGUCAUCACCUGGAGGUGCACCGCAUGAGCUGCUGCGUCAGGGCUUCCACCUCGUCAAAGUCCACUUCGGGCUCCUCCCUGCGAUUUCCAGAGCAGAUAAUUAAGAUGAGUCAGUACCGAGACAGAGAGCAGAGGGAGAGAUGAUAGAGGGCGUGAGGGCGGACAUCAGGAUGUCGAUGUCAUCGAUGAUCUCGGAGGCGUCGUAGAUGAAGAGGCGGGAGACCUCGACGGCGGUGCCCUCGUCCCGCAGCUCCUCGAACGUGUCCUCGUCCACGACACCCUGGAUUGACAUCGGCCACGGCAAGGCAAACUCAUAGGCCAAGUCAGGACAAAUUCCACAACCACAUGACUAGAGGGGAGGGGAGGGGCCUCACCUCGGUGUACAUGCCGGCGAUAUGAGCGUUGAGCUGCGCCCUCAGUGCUGCGGCUGCCAUGGCAAGGCGAGGAGAGGUCCGGUGGUCCGGGGGACUGAGCGGUCGAGACGGGGGAAUUCGGCUGCGGAUGCGGAGUGAACGAGGACGGGAUCGAGGAGGAGCGGAGGUUGUAUAGCUGGGCUCACGAGGGUCUCUCACGUAGGCGUUUGGCAGCGAGUGCUCUACUAGCUGUACUGCAUCGUCGGCCGGGAGCCAUUAGUUAGCUUGGAAACGGCCCGCGUGCGUAUUGCGUGCAUGCAUCAUGCAUGCAUGCAUGCAUGGAGCCACCGGUUGUGUGUCCACGUGUCUAUGGAAGUGAGCGUUUGUUUCAACUUUAAUCUCUUUUCCUUUCAAACAAAAACUUAGUCCCUCACAAUGUUUAUAGGGACAAAUAGAAGACCAUCCACUCUCCUCUGUCUCACUUAAGUGAAUUGGUUUCGAGAGCGUUCCAUCACUUUUUAUGACUUUCACAGUUUCACUUUCAACCCGAUUCACCGCCUACAUGCCCUUUACGCCCAGUCAUUCCAAAGAGUACUUGCCCCACCCCCUCGUCUUAGCACGGCUGCUGGCACGGAGUUAGCCGGGGCUUCUUCCUCUAGUUCUGUCAUGAUCGCGCACUCGACGUAAGAGCUUUACAAGGAGCAUUGACCUUCUUCACUCACGCGAUAUUGCUGGAUCGGGCUUUCGCCCAUUGUCCAAGAUUCCCCUUUGCUGCCCCCCAUGGGAGUGUGGGUCAUGUCUCAGUCCCAGUGUGGCUAAUCAUUCAAAAAGACCAGCUAAGCAUCAUUGGCUUGGCUAGCCUUUACCUGACCAACUAAUAAUACUACGCAGGUUCAUCAAACAGCGCUUUGAACUUUCUUCAGGAUUCGGCCCGAACUAUUCAGCAGAUUCCCACGCAUUACGCAUUCGUUCGUCACACUUUGUUCUCAACUAUUCCGAUUAUUUCUAGCAAACGGAGGCCGUUAGGUCAUAGUCGUAGCGCACGCCCUGUAGUUUUGAAGCAAGGCGACACAACUUUAGCUAUGGGGUGACCUAACCGAACAUGGCGGUCAACCCCUAGGGACAAAGCAUGCUUCAUGAGUUUAUGAGCUUCAGCAUUCAAGCUCCUAAAUUCAUGGCUAAUGAUACAAUUAGUAAAAGGAGCCUUCCGAUCUAUGAUCUCAUGUAUGAUUGCUCUGUAGAUAGUUGCGCUCUUCUGAUGUAUAUCUGCAACGCCACCUUGAAAUCUGAAGCCACCUGAAUCUUCCUCUCAUAGAGAUUAUCAGCAAGCGCAAGUGCCACCCUGAUUGCUGAAGAUUGGACAGUAGCAAGAUCUAAUAUAUGUGGGAACACAAUGGCUGACACACCCAGAAAAUUACAUGCUUGAUCUCUGCAUAUAGCUCUCAUUGCGCCUCGAGUGCCGCCUGGUCCAACCGCCGAACCCACAUUGACCUUCACCAUAUCAUCCCGAGGAGCGAUACAUUGAUUUGGCCUAAUCACUGGUGCCCCUGGACUGGACUUCGAGUGCUUUGGGUAGCUCUCAGCUCAGUUAAUUAAGUAACUGCACAAAAGCCUGAAAAGUGAAAGGGCUUUUAUAUAUCUCCUCGUUUAUAGCUUUGUGCCGAGCUCCCCAUAUCAUCCGCAAAAGUGACCGUAAACAUGAUGAAAUCCUUCUCAUGUGAUACACCUCAUGCAUGCUGAACAGCCAUUGUUUGGCGUCAUCAUUUACAUUCAGACUCAACCGCUCGACAAUUUGCUCGUAUGAUAGUGCCCACGUGCUCCUUGAAACCAAGCAAUUCAGCGGGGCGUGCCUGCACGUAUCCUUAGACCCGCACAAACAACAAGCACUCGUCGUCGACAUGUUUCUAUGAUGAAGAAGGAAACUGUGAGUAUUGUGCUAAUCUCCACAUGAACACCUUGAUUUUCGAGGGGGCUUUUAUAUGCCAUAAGUUUGUCCAUCCUGGACAAUCAGCCUCUGAGUUUGAUCGGACGCCCUGCUCAUACAGCCAGGAUUCUCUACUGAUCUUUGUUCACUGUAUCAUCUUGUAAGCGGAAUGCACAGUGAACAUACCCCAUCUAUCUUCACUCCAAGCACAAAAUCAGAUAUCUAUCUCGUGCAAAGAGGGAUCUUCAAUAUAGUCUCGGCAUCAAUGGGAAUAAGUAACGAUUAAAUAAGUUGUUCGUCCCUUGACGACACAGUGUGAUCAGUGUGUUCAGUGACCCCUGUUGGCGGUUGCGGUAUUUGUGAAGUUCUCGGCCUCUUUAUAUGCCCUCUAGUUAUCUAGUAGUCGUUCCAAAUAUCAGGGGAUUCUCUGUCUCCUAAUCUCCUUAUCGAACCAUGAGUCAUUAUGUCUUUCCCACACAAAAUAGCCCGCCAUAUCUGUGAUGAAUGUGGUCCCAAGGUUGCAUCAGAAAGAGAGUCAUUUGGAUAGUAGAAAACUUCUAAGAUUAACGAACUCAGAGAACCGGGAUGGUCUAGCAAGCGCCGGGCUUGCUUGGCUAGUAGGCUAGAUUAAACAUCUCAAAUAAUCGGUCUCAUCAUAACAUCCCAUGAGACCCAGCAUGGCUUCCUUCUGCCAUGUUUACUUCCCUACCAAAAUUGUCUGAUUAAAGAGGUGACACUCGCGCAACAUCCUUGCAGGAAAUGGAAGCAGGCCAUGGAAUAUACCGGAAUUGCCUAUGCCACAGACUUUAUCAAAACCUCUUUACCUGCAGUUGACAGGAGCUUUUCCAUCCAUCCUCUCAGCUUUUCCGAAACUCUGACACGUAAGUAUUUGAAAGCCCUCUUCUUGGACUGCCCACAUCAGUUGGCAUACACAAUUUCCUGUCAUUGAGCGACUCAUUUUAGACGUUCAAAGUAUUCCUGGCAUCUUCCUUGAGAGCCUGAGAGCAUCCUCUCUAUUGCAAAAUAUAAAGGACUUGUCAUGAUUUAUUCUUCGUCUGGAUGCCAACCAAUAAUUCUCCAGUAGGUUUGAUACUUCAACUGCCCCAUCAUGAGUUGACUUAAAGCAACAUGUCGUCAUCUGCAAAAAGUAUACGAUUCACAGCCGAAGUUGUUGGUGGAGCUUAAGCAUGAUGAAGAAGAACUGGAUUUCAGGAGGCAUUAAAGGCCCUCUACUGCAAUUAAGAAAAGAUAUGGGGAUAUUGGAUCUCCCUGUCGGAUACCUCUGUUGGGUUGUAAUUGAUCAAGUAUCUCACGAUUAAAAAGAACCGAGAAAGAUACCGUCUGAACCAUGCCCAUAACUAUUUGUACCCAUGUAGGAGAAAGCCCCAAUUUCAACAUCGUGGCUUUAGAAUAGUCCCACUCCAACCUAUCAUAUGCCUUCCUCAUAUCGAGCUUCAAAGCAUAGUAGCUACUAACUUUUUCCCUCGCUGCAUUUCAUGAAAUGUAAGCACUGAUAUGCACUAAUAAUAUUAUCCAUGAUCAUUCUUCCACGGACAAAAGUUGAUUGCUCCUCAGAUAUGAUAUCGGUUAAAUUUUGCUUCAACCUAUUUGCAAUAAUCUUGGAAGCUAGCCUAAAUUUUGUUAAGAGGGUUGGGUUUGUUACCUUUGGAAUCAAAACCAGAAUUGUAUCAUUGAUGCAUUCAGGACUAUCUUCCCCUCUCACGAUUCUCAAAACCGCCUCUAUUACUUCUUUACCACAAAUAUCCCAAUGACGCUGAUAAAAAUGGGCAGGGAACCCAUCAGAGCAUGGAGCCUUCAUUGGGAACAUUUGAAAUUGUGGCACUGUCGGUGUCAAAACCGGCGGAUCUCGGUUAGGGGGUCCCGAACUGUGCGUCUAAGGCGGAUGGUAACAGGAGGUAGGGGACACGAUGUUUUACUCUGGUUCGGGCCCUCUUGAUGGAGGUAAAACCCUACGUCCUGCUUGAUUUAUUCUUGAUGAUAUGGGUAUUACAAGAGUUGAUCUACCACGAGAUCGUAGAGGCUAAACCCUAGAAGCUAGCCUAUGGUAUGAUUGUAUGUUGUCCUACAGACUAAAACCCUCCGGUUUAUAUAGACACCGGAGGGGGCUAGGGUUACACAAGGUCGGUUACAAAGGAGGAGAUAUACAUAUCCGUAUUGCCUAGCUUGCCUUCCACACCAAGUAGAGUCCCAUCCGGACACGAGACGAAAUCUUCAAUCUUGUAUCUUCAUAGUCCAACAGUCCGGCCAAAGGAUAUAAUCCGACUGUCCGGAGACCCCCUAAUACAGGACUCCCUCAGUAGCCCCUGAUCCAGGCUUCAAUGACGAUGAGUCCGGCGCACGGUGUUGUCUUCGGCAUUGCAAGGCGGGUUCUUCCUCCGAAUACAUCACGGAAGAAUUUGAAUACAAGGAUAGUGUCCGACCCUACAAAAUAAGUUCCACAUACCACCGUAGAGAGAAUAAUAUUUCCACAAAUCUAAUUUGCUGACUUGUUUUGGCAACGACAUUAUGUCAUGGCCCGGUGAUUAUUCGAACCGUUUCCUUUAACUAGCCCCGCACAGAACGUGAGGCAGUUUUUUGACACGUCUUGUCAAAGCAGAGAUAGUGUCCCCUUAUCAAGGGAUUCUCAUCAAUACGGGCGUGGGUAACCCAACCGCGCCAUCGAUUACGACGCUUGGGGGAUAAGCGAGUUUUACCAGGCUAGUGGGGACGCAUAGUUUCGUCUGCCCAUAUAAAGGGAUAAGGAUUCACCUUUUCAUCCACGCCUUCUUCCUCCUUUGCUCAUCCAUUUUCGCACACUCGAGCUCCAGUGCCCAAGUCCGCAUUUCCCACCUCGACCUUCUCCAACCAUGUCCGGAGCGGGAGGUAGGUGGAUGGUCUCCUCCGUCACGGAGGGACACAUCAAGAAGCUGAGGACAGCCGGAUACCUGCCCGACAACAUCGCGCACCGGCUCCCAGAUGAGGGGCAGCUCAUCCCCACCCCUAGGCCCCAUGAGAGAGUAGUAUUCCUUACCCAUUUCCUCCGCGGACUGGGAUUCCCUCUCCACCCAUUCGUCCGGGGGCUCAUGUUCUACUACGGCCUGGAUUUCCAUGAUCUGGCCCCGAACUUCAUCCUCAACAUCUCGGCGUUUAUCGUCGUGUGCGAGGCCUUCCUCCACAUCAAGCCCCACUUCGGCUUAUGGCUGAAGACCUUCAAUGUCAAGCCGAAGGUAGUGAACGGCCGCCAGGCAGAGUGCGGAGAUGCCAUGGUGGGCAAGAUGCCCAACGUCACAUGGCUCGAGGGCUCCUUCAUGGAGAUCGUAAAGGGGUGGCAAUCGGGGUGGUUCUACAUCACCGAGCCGCAUGACCCUAAAUGGGCAGUGGCCCUCGAGUUCCGAUCUGGCAUCCCCACGCGGCUUACCUCCUAGCAAGAGAAGGGCCUGUCCUAGGGUAGUUCGGGAGAGCUGACUGGACUCCAAACAUGUAUUCAAAACAUGGUGAACAAGAAGCUCAAACUUGUCAACGUAGUCCAGGUCAUGCUCAUCCGCCGGAUCCUACUGUGCCAACAACGGGCUUUCAACUUGUGGGAGUUCGACACGGCCCAGCACCAAACUCUGAAUAGGCUCUUCGACACAACUCACGAGGAUGCCUGGAAGGUGCUAUUCAAGGGUGUCGAGGUUCCCCCCCCCCACUACCGAGGAUCACGGAUUCUGCGCGAAGUGCCAAGCCAGCGCGGUAAGCUGUUUCACCUCUCACAUGAUACUUGUUUUUCAUAGUUUGACUCUAUGCGGGAUGUAAGCUCCCGUACCUUUGACAGGACUAGCAGGAGACGACCGGACAGAUCGACUGUCCGGCUCCUUUGCCCGAAGGCCCAGCAGACGCUCUCCCGACAAAGAUGUUGACUCCGGCUCCUUACAAGGUGCCGGAGAAGACCAAGAAGGCCAAGGGAACCCAAAAGAGUUCCCGACGCCAGGCGUCAUCGGACUCAUCGUCUGAUAACUCUGCGACACACUCCUCCCCUGAAGACGAGGAGGAAGAAGAAGAUGCUCCCCCUUUAGAUGGGAGAGACAAGAAAAUGAAGGCCGCCCCAACUGGGGAGGCUGAAGGGUCCAAGAAGGGAAGGACUCUCCUUCCGGAUAGUUCCACCACCACCGCCGAAGGCGAAGACGACUGGCUGCUCAGGGCCAAGCCCCUGGAGAAGUCGUAAGUAUUCGGAUACUAGAGUAACUCAUAGCAUUCCUUUGUCGCACUGCUUCCCCUAACGCCGAAUAUGAUUAUGCAGGCCGCCAUGAGCCCGUAUCGAUGUAUCGUCGGACGGCUCCCUGGGCUCGUCGGAUAUGGAUAGCGAUCCACUUCCGACCGCCACCUCCCCUUGCCCUGCGGACAAUGCCGAGGUAUUGUCUCAAGAGGCACCGGGUCGAGGGGAGACAGUCUCAGAGGCGCCUCAAGGCGACCUUUCGGACUUCAGGAGCAAAGGGAACAAGGCCCUUGAGGGCCCCGAGUUCGGCCCUCAGCCGAACACCGCGCUGGAACUUCUAGUGGUUCCGGACUCGGGCAGGCGGCCUCCUUACAAGAGGGGCAAGACGCCUGUGCCGGUGACCUCUGUCCAUCCAGAGGCGCCGGACAAUCUGCUGGGAGCGCUUCGCAGCGCUUCCAUCGACGAGGAGCACCGUACUAUUAUGAGUGUGGUGGUCCAGAAGGUUCAGUCCGCCAAAAGCGGAUUGACUGAAGCCUGUGCCAGCCUUCUAAUAGGCUUUAAGGUAAGUGUUUAAAAUAUAGGAAAAAUAUUACCGCAUAGACAGUAGCCCCUGAUGCUCUGUUCGGUGUUCACAAAGAAAGCCGAACAGAGGAUCAAACAAUAUCGCAGGAGUCUAAUAUAAGUAUGUCAAUAUGCGUAUGCAGGCUUCGCUGCUGGCAUCUGCCGCACUGACUGCGGAGGUCGCCGCACUGAAGCAGGACCUUAAAGGGUCCAAGGACGAGCUCGGCCUUGCCAAGAGGCAGCUCGCGGAGAACAAAGGUAAGUAGUACCUAGUCUAUGGAUAUGUAUAAAAAGAAUGCGAUUGCAAAAUGACAGGAUCAUCAUGAAUUUGCCAGGGGCCACAACCGAAGUGGCUACCCUAAAGCAAGCGCUGUUUGAGACCGAAGAUAAAGCGGACAAGGAGCGCAUCGAGCGAGAAUGGCAAGAGACUCGGGUGGGCGAGGUGUGAUAUGUCUCCAACGUAUCUAUAAUUUUUGAUUGCUCCAUGCUAUAUUAUCUACUGUUUUGGGCAAUAUUGGGCUUAUUUUCCACUUUUAUAUGAUUUUUGGGACUAACCUAUUAACCGGAGGCCCAGCCCAGGUUUGCUGUUUUAUGCCUAUUUCAGUGUUUCGAGGAAAAGGAAUAUCAAAUGGAGUCAAAAUGGAACGAAAUCAACUAGAGAAGUUGUUUUUGGAAGGAAACCUACCGGAUAGACUUGGACCCUACGUUAGAAGAUGAAGGAGGUGCUCAUGAGGGUAGGGGCAUGCCCACCCCCCUAGGGCGCGCCCCCCUGCCUCGUGGCCCCCCCUUCGGUCCACCGACGUACCCCUUGUACCCAUAUAUACCUACGUAUCGUAAAACUUCCAAAACGGAGAUUAGAUCGGGAGUUCCGCCGCCAGAAGCCUCCGUAGCCACCAAAAACCAAUCUAGACCCAUUCCGGCACCCUGCCAGAGGGGGGGAUCCUUCUCCGGUGGCCAUCUUCAUCAUCCCGGUGCUCUCCAUGACGAGGAGGGAGUAGUUCUCCCUCGAUAGAUUAUACACUCUGCAGAGGUUAGUACACUCUACCCACACUAUGGAACUCAUGGCCUCAUGCUCCCAUUCGGGUGGACUAACGACGUUCCAACAAAACCAAUAUAUUGUAUACACUCUGCCUGCCACUCCGAAAAACUCCUGACUGGGCUAUGCCAUGGGUCACCCCUAUGUUAACUCGUGAAUCCGCUACCUUUGUGGCCGCCACCGCCAUGCCCAAACAAACUUUAUCAUCCCAAAUGGGGACCUCGUUACCAGAAAACUUGGUCUCACAAGGUUAUUGACGCCUACCAGGAUAGGGUAGCACAUGCACAUAGCAUUCCCUCGUUAGAGGCACCGACGAGAGGCAUGACAAUAGAGCGAAUUAGAACAUCCUCAUCCAGGAAAGUGUGGUUGCACUAGUGAGCUCAAUUCGGUGGUACUAUGACUCUAUUAAUAGCUUUGACCCAGUUUGAUUAUAGUCAGGUUUAACUUGAAUGAAAAUUAUUCGAGCCAUAGAAUGCAAUAGAGUGCAUGAUAGUGAGCUAAAUGGUGGAUGAAUGCUAACUUAACCAUAUAACAUUUACUCUACUGUCUACAACAUACAUAUGACAUGGAAAUGAGCUUAAUGUAACAAGUAGCAUGCAGGUAGUAGUUUAAAUUCAUAAGGCAUAUAAGUAAUCUAUAUUCAAUUGGAACCAAAUCCAUUGCAAUGCCAUCUUGCAAAUGAAUGUUGUGGCUUGCCUUAGUUCAGAGGAGUGUCACGAUACUCCUGGUCUUCUCCCACACAGUUAGUUUCUUCUAAAAAUAAAUUUAAUAACAAAAAUAAAAUGUCGCAUAAAGCUUUUUCUAAUACCAUAAAUUCUAGACAGCAAGGGAUAAUCUCAAAUUGCACCAACAGAAAGUUCAGCUCAUGACGAAACUAUGGCAAAAAGUUCAACUCAUUUGGACUUUUGGUUUAGAAAUCAUAGCUAGUCAAAGUUUGGGUCAAAAUCUAAUUUUAAAUUGAAUUAACAGAAAUUCCAGGGAGGGACACGUUGAAGGCGUAUUUUGCUAGGGCGCCUCCAUAGAAAAUGAUUCAGAGGGGAAGAGAGAAGCUUACAAGUAUGGUCCCCGUGUUAGGUUUAGGAGAGAGAAAGAGAGAGAGAGAGAGAGAGAGAGAGAGAGAGAGAGAGAAGAGGUAGGCGGCUAUUGCAAAUGAUCCUCUAGUGAGGAGACCAUGGCGGCUGUUGGCGAUGGUCGUGAUGGGUUCAGAGCAGCGUGGGGAGCACACAUGUCCCCCUUGCUUGGUCGGAGGUGGACGAACGGCGAGGUUGGCUUCCUCUCCAGAGAAGAUGGGCAAUGGAGCUCGUCGGAGUCGGUGUUCCCGAUAUUGUUCCGACUGAUCAACUGCACCAUCGUGCUCUAGAGAUCAACACGAGCUCGCCUGAAGAAGUCGUGGAAGUAGAGGAGGGCAGGAGCGAGAGAAUGGUCUAGGGGGGUCCGCAGGCAACUCCGGCGAUGAUCGGAGGCAGGAGGCCAUCCUGGCCUUGCCCCGCUCGUCGGUGGUAAAUUUAUGGCCAGUGGAGGAGUGGUGGAUGGUUUACCAGCUAGGGCGGGGUCUAUUUAUAAGAGAGGGAGAUGCCGAGCACCGGGCACCGCUGUGAGGAAGCUUGCGGAGCUCUAGCUAGGUGUGUAGCUCGGGCACGAGUGGUGAAGUGACUAGAGGGGCACCGGGGAGAUGUAGAUGCACUCGGGCAAAGCUAGGGCGCACGAUGUGGGUCAGGAGACGCACUAACGCACACUAUUCCCGCACGGGCACGCCGUGUCCGCGUCCGGCGAGCCUCUUGCUAACGUAGGGAAGGACUUGGAGCUGGCCAGGUGGAAGAAGGAGAACAAGUGAGGCGGCGUGGGCAAGCUGUAGUGUCGCAAGGGCGGCGUUUGGGUGACGGCCGAGGGUCCCGGCGUCCAGAGCGCGCGCAUUGCAUGUCGAACAACUACAUCUCGCAUGGUCACUACAUGAAGUGGCACACACGGGACUUUAGGCCAACGAGCCAAAAACUAGGGUGUCAUAGAGAAAGAGUGCAUUUUUGAGUUCCUCGAGUGUGUAAGGGGAAACUAGCAUAUCAUUCAUCUCAGUUGUGACCUUGCAUGGGACAUUUUUUAGUAUUGUAUCCAUAUAACUUACACCCUCAGAUGUAUACAGAGAUUUGUAGAAUUCAUGGACCAUGUUUUUCAACUGCUUGGAUCCUCCGCCGUUACACCAAGAGAAUUCUGCAAAGCUUUGGUCAUAUUUUUCUUCCUCGAGAUGCUAGCCUGAAGAUGGAAAAACUUCAAGUUUUUGUCUCCCGAGGCCAACCACUCAGGUCUUGCUCGUUGUUGCCACAUCACUUCCUCAUGAUGGUACAUCUCUACUAAUUUUUCAUUGAUUUUUAGCUCGGCGUGAGUGGGAACCGUCCUGUUUGGAUCAGACCAAAGCUUUUCUGAUUCUCCCUUUGUUUUGAUCUCCUUGCAUACCUGCCAAAUGUAUCAUUGUUCUAGCGCAGGAAAGGACUGCCAACUUCGUACUCAACUUGUUUGUUCCCAAGGUGGUACCCGAUGCAGCCAUGUCGUGUUAAUCAUAUCACCCCAUUGCUCAUGUCCUUCCCUCAUAACCUCGCAAAAAAGGUCUUGGCCAUUGUGUUUGUUGGGAAACAUAGUAGAAAACAAAAAAUGCCCCUACGCACACCCAAGAUCAAUAUGAAGAUGUAUUACGGGUUGAGGUCAUGAUUGUUGCCGUCAUCGAGUUGCAGCAGAAGAAUAACGUGUCAGUUCAGAUCAUACUUGGAGUCCCUUGAACCGUCGAGGAACGAUACCGCAAACCGCCGAUGAACAGUCCCUUGAAUUGAAGACUGAAAGCCCAGUCUCUCUACUUGGUUGCAAGCGUGCAGCCUUCAUGACCUGGCAGUGCUUCACCGUUUACUCUUGGCUACUUACGUUGAGCUAAAGCUACUCUAAUGGUGUUAAAUCUAGCAACAAGAGUAAGAAAGAUUCUUCUUCUAGUAGUAACAAUAAUCAUGCCAAACCCAAUGUUGUUGCUUCUAGUAGUUCUCUUGAGUCCACUAAUGAUUCUCUUAGCCAAGUUACACUUGAGCAAGAAAAUAGCUUAUUGAAGGGAAUUAUAGAGAAAGGUGUUCACAAGAGCCUUGCCGGGAGUAAGCAAUUUGAGGAAAUUGUACGCAAGCAAGGAAGACACCGGAAGAAUCAAGCAAUUGGUUUUGAACGAAGGUUUAAUGCCAAUGGAGUUGAGUGGGAAGAAGAUCAAUGCCCCAAGACGAAGUUUGUUCCUCAACAAAAGAAGUAUGAUCCUACUUCUUUCCAAGGAACACAAGCUCAAGAUGAUCUUCCACCACAAGACCACAAGCAAAAAAGCAAGGACAAGCUUCAAGAGGAGAUUGAUGCAUUUGAAGAAUCUCCCAAAGCCUUGGUCAAGUGGGUUCCCAAGACUACAUCAAGUUCAACUUCAUCGAGUACGCCUACAACUCCAGGGAUUCCCAUCAAGAUGGUGUGGAUCCCGAAGAAAAAGAACUAGAGAGUUCUUGAGGGUGACUCCGCCAACACUUCACUCAUAUCUUUUGGCAAGGACACGUGCAAACAACUUCCAUAUCUUGCACUAGUUCAAGGAGUCACAAACCCUCUUGUUGAUAAGACAAGGGACAAGGUAACCUAAUGGUUUCGUGGACAUCAUCUUAUGUGAACAUCACUCUAUGUCUAUGGAUAUCCUUGUUUGAUCCUUGUGGGACCAACCCGUGUAGGUAUUGAAAGUGCAACUCACUCUAAUUGAUUGCUCCAAAUGAUCUACAUCAACAUUAAGCAUCUACAUCUUCAACACCUACAUGAAGUCAUCGUCGACAAAACCCAAGGUUAGUUCAUCCCUCUUAGGGGGGAUAUCACAUCUAGGGGGAGCUUUACUCUAAUCAAUUGAGCUAAAGCAACUCUAAUGGUGUGAACACAACAAUGCUUUAUGUAAAAGUGGCAACCCCACUUAUGCUUAAACGAUGAGUAUGACCUAUGAUCAAAUGUUCUCAUUUGACUCCUCAGUCAAUAUACUCAUAUAUGGAUGAUCUAGUCAUCGCCAAUUGCUUGAUAGAUUCUAGUGUGUUUGUGCAUGCUCUGCCACAAAUUUCAUUUGCCAUUUUAUUGUGUGAGCAUGUUGGUCGCAUAUUUUACUCAUUCAAGGACGUCCACUUGUUGUUUUGAUUGGUUGGCAUUUUUAUAUUUUGCCAAGUGGAUGAACAAGAAUGCCUAAGAACCUCCUCUAGCUAUCUAUGCUUUUCUCGUCUCAAACUCUAUUCAUGCUACAUCACAAUGUAUGAUCAAGUCAGAUUCAAACCACUCUGUGUGAGGAGCACUCGGAGUCCCCGAUUCAUCAUAGACUUAAACUUCCAAAACCUCUUUGUGCAUUUCAGUAUGACCGAGUCAUCCACUUCGGUCACACCGAGUUCACUAAGUUAAUCUAGGUUUUCCAUCUCGGUACAACCGAUUUGAACUUUUCGGCCACAUUGAGUUGCAGUAACCGCUUGCGAUUCUGCAUCUCGGUGCCACCGAGUUGUUCCACUCAGUCACACCGACAGGGUCGGGAUAUAUAUACCGACGGGUUGAAUUUUAGAAAUUUCUCUCAAACACUUCACCCCGCGCAUGUCCUGCUCUGCCUCCUUGGGUCUCUAGAUCGCCUCCUCGCCGCUAGUGACCUCCCGCCGCUAGUCUCCGUCGCCGUCAACGGAAUUCUGCUCCGCCGUUGUCGCCGUAGCGAACUCCCGCCGAACUAGGGUAUGAGUUCGACUCUUUGUGCUAUUUCCCAACUCUGAUUCGUAGCACAUUACUUUGCCAUGAUAAUGACCACAUAUGCAAACAAUCCAUCCACUAAAAACCUCCUUUAGAUUAGAUUGGAUUUGAAAAUUUAGGGUUAGGUCUCCGUCGGACUCAUCUCGGACCGACCGAAUUGUAGAAAUCGGUCUCACUGAUUUGGCUUAGGCCGUAGCACAUGCAUUUUCGGUCUGACCAAAAAUUGCAAAUCGGGGUGAUCGAGUUCGAUUCUCUGUGAAACCCUAGCAGUCUUGGUGCCACCGAACUGUGACUCGGUCUGACCGAGUUCACUAGUUUAGGUUCCAAAAGUUGCUUCGGUAUCACCGAGUUUAUCAAAUCGGUAGCUCCGAAAUGCUUUCUGUGGAGAACUAAAACUAGAUCUAGGUCUAGCUCUAGCUCUAAUUAGAUCCUACACACUGGGAUUCUACUUAUGAGGAUUAGAGGAUCUAGGUCUAGCUCUAAUUAGAUCGACUAGGAUCAACUAGAACUAGAACUAAAGGAAACAUGAGGAUACUCCAAACUUGUAUAUGUCCAUAGAGAAAAAACCCUGGUAUAUAUAGGUUGGAAGGGAGGGAGAGGGUAGCCAUGGAGGGAAAGUCUCUCCUUGGGGCGCCUCCCCCCCCCUCCCACACGCACACACACACACAAGGAAGGGCCGCCACUUCCUAUUGGGCCAAGUUGGCCCGAUGCUCCUUCCCCGGUUUGGCCCUUUAAUGACCAUUUGUAUUAAAUUUAUUAGAAAAGCCUUCUAAUAAAUAUUAGACCCUUUUAUAUAACAUUUAACAGCCCCAGAAACAUUUUACACCUAUAUAUUAUUUAACGGUAAUACCAGAUAUUAGCCGAUACUCUCCGAAACCCUUUCGGUGACCCCGAAACGCUUACGGAUAUUUAUGAAACAAUUCCACAAACAUAUUCUCAUCAUUCCCAUCCUACUAACACUCAGCAGAUCGUAAUUUCCUUAAGCUUGUGACCCCGUAGUUUUGGUAACUCAUAGACAUGAACGACACCCCUUUGCUCAAUGACCGAUAGCAGAAACGUGGACGUCCAUAUCGAUCCCUAUGACCACAUGAAUGAUAUUCAAGUGAAUAUUUGGUUAUCAUGUGAUGUUCCCUUUGCUUCGCAAUAUUUCACAAAACCUAGGAUACAUCGGUGUCCUCCUGAGUCAUCACAUGCUCACGAUACUAUUAUCCUCGUUACCGGUUUUGUUCUUCUUUCUCAUUGUCGUGUUCCGGCAUCCCCGUGACGUAGUCACAUGUGUCCUGCCAGAUGAUGAUUGACACCAUCACACCGAGAGGGCCCUAAGAAUAUCUCUCCUUCUUCAUAGGAGCCAAUCCCACUCCCAGGCUAUCUAGUCCCUUGUCAAACUUUCUGAUGAACCUGUAAGUUGUCAUUAUGAUCACCAUGUUACGGGUGAUGUUUGAGCAACCCCAAAGUCCAUCGUAUAGUAAGAAGUGAUUACGAUACUCUCAUGUUCUAAGGAGAAAAAUCACACGUUAGCACUCGGUGUUGUUACAGUUGAUUACAGACGAUAUAAACUCAAUUCGUUACACACAAAUUUUGGUCAAUUCAAUAUGAUCGUUCUUCUAACGUCAUACUAUAAAUGUUUUUUAGGAGUAUCGUUACACUUAGCGAUAUCCUAAGAUCUGGAAAACAUGAUCACUAACAACACUUGAGCCAGUCUUAGAGCAAGAUUAGGAACCUAUUCUCUACUGUUUAUCAUUCCACACGUGCAUAUGAGUUUUCCACUGAGUCGCCUAUUCCAGGAUCAUAGCAGUUAUAGCGUGAAAUAUAAACUCUUAAUUAUGAAAAUGAAAUUAUAAUAAUACAAUACUAUUGCCUCUAGGGCAUAUUCCCAAUAGUAUUAUGUUGUUGCUGCCGAUGCAAAGUCCACCAAUAUCGCGUCAUGAUCUGAAGUCACGGUUGUCAGGUGAGUUUAAUCAGCAAGUGAAACAUUCAUUGCCAGUCCACAAAAACCAUCACUCGGUCUAGGCGCACCAUUGUGAAAGUUCCACAUGUAACCUUCAUCUCAAAGGUCGGGCCAGAGUAACCCAAAUCCAACAGCAUGCAGACAUCAACCUUGUCUUGAAAAGCUUGGAUCUGCACACUGCUGCGUUGUCCAACUCCUUCGUGCUCAUCUGUAUGUAGAACUUCAUUGAAAUCGCCCAGGCAAAGCCAUGGGAGAUUGCUGGAAGUACUAAUGUUUUUAAUAGUAUACCAUGUUUGGUGCCUCAAGUGGGUUUGAGCUUCACCAUACACUAUUGUAACUCUCCAAAGAUCAAGGCUUGGUUCAAGAAUGGAGCACUCAAAAUAAUACACAGAGUAACCAAGAAUAUCUAUUUUUAUUUCAUUAUUCUAGAAAAUGCCAAUACCGCCAUUUCUAUCCUGGCUAUCAAUCGCAUAUCCAUUAUCAUACCCUAAUGUAACUGCUAAAGAUUCUACCCUUGAGCCUCUUGUUGGGUUUCUACUAUGUAGACGAUGGUAGGGGAAAAUUUCCUUGUGAAAUCACAAAGCUCACUAAUUAUCGUGGCUCUGCCCGCACCGCAACAAUUCUAGCAGAAGACACACAUUGGACAUGGCAGCACUCCUCUAGGGAGCCUAACAAUUUUGCCAUUGGGUUUUUUGUGUUGCCACCGUUCUUAUGCAACGUGUUCUUAUCUGCUGCAAUUACUUGUCCUUGACCUGUUUUGUUCCUGCCGAGACGAGGGGCUCGAUGGGAUUUGAGGGGAAGGUAGCGUCGGUGUUUUGCCUUGGGCCGACAUAGCUGUUAUGGCUAACUCAUCUGCCACUGGAUCAACUGUCGUUGCAAGCUCUGAAGCUCGUUUUUUGUUCAGUUCAGCCUUGUGCAUGUAGGCAUCAGGGUCCUCAUACUCUGAUUCCCCCUGGGAGCGCCUUGGUCCAUGACUAGUCCUGCCGCCGUGGCCACGGCCUCGCCCUCUCCCUCCUCCAGGUCCUCUCCACGCUCCCUUGAACCAGCUAGCUCACAGAUUUUUGAAAACUAGGGCUAACGGUGGAUGCACUCCAUCCCGACAUUCCUUGUACAUGUGGCGCAAAUAACCACAAACCACGAAUGAAUCUGGUAGCCGCUCAUAUGCGACUGUGAAGACCAUAUGUUCAUACACCUUUAACAUUUUUNNNNNNNNNNNNNNNNNNNNNNNNNNNNNNNNNNNNNNNNNNNNNNNNNNNNNNNNNNNNNNNNNNNNNNNNNNNNNNNNNNNNNNNNNNNNNNNNNNNNNNNNNNNNNNNNNNNNNNNNNNNNNNAAAUGCUUGAGUUACAUUUUUUCAAAUACUUGUUCAACAUUUAUUUUAGAUACGUGUUCAUCAUCUUUUGAACAUAUGGUCAACAUUUCUUCCAUACUCCCGCCGUCCGGUGAAAUGUCUACAUAUAAAAAAUUAGGACAAAUAAUGGAGUGGAAUAAAAAAUGCAUUGGGAAGAUGCAAGCCACCAUCUCUCUUUUUAUUACCAAAACCCCAAUGAGCUAAAUGUAGAAUGUUUGGUCUUGAUUACCGUGUGAUGACAGAGAAGCAUUUUUUCUACUUUCGUGUGCAUUGGGAGGAUAGGAAUACACUCUUUUGUGGACAAAAUUUAAAGCCAAACGUACACCCUUCAGCGAACGGAGGGACUACAUAGUAAAGAUUUUCCAUAUGCUUGGUUAACAUUUAUUAAAUACAUCUUCAACAUUUUUUUCAAAUACUUGAUUAAAAUUUGUAUACAUAUUAUAAAAAAUUCAUCAUUUUUUUCAUAUAUGGUCAACAUUUUUCUAUACACAUUUAACAUUUUCAAAUGCAUAACUAUUUUUAGAAAANNNNNNNNNNNNNNNNNNNNNNNNNNNNNNNNNNNNNNNNNNNNNNNNNNNNNNNNNNNNNNNNNNNNNNNNNNNNNNNNNNNNNNNNNNNNNNNNNNNNNNNNNNNNNNNNNNNNNNNNNNNNNNNNNNNNNNNNNNNNNNNNNNNNNNNNNNNNNNNNNNNNNNNNNNNNNNNNNNNNNNNNNNNNNNNNNNNNNNNNNNNNNNNNNNNNNNNNNNNNNNNNNNNNNNNNNNNNNNNNNNNNNNNNNNNNNNNNNNNNNNNNNNNNNNNNNNNNNNNNNNNNNNNNNNNNNNNNNNNNNNNNNNNNNNNNNNNNNNNNNNNNNNNNNNNNNNNNNNNNNNNNNNNNNNNNNNNNNNNNNNNNNNNNNNNNNNNNNNNNNNNNNNNNNNNNNNNNNNNNNNNNNNNNNNNNNNNNNNNNNNNNNNNNNNNNNNNNNNNNNNNNNNNNNNNNNNNNNNNNNNNNNNNNNNNNNNNNNNNNNNNNNNNNNNNNNNNNNNCAGCUCCUCGAAUGUGUCCUCGUCCACGACACCCUGGAUCGACGUCGACCACGGCCAGGCAAACUGAUAGGCCAAGUCAGGCCAAAUUCCACAACCACACGACUAGAGGGCAGGGGAGGGGCCUCACCUCGGUGUACAUGUCGGCGAUAUGGGCGUUGAGCUGGGCCCUACGGUAUGAUGUUCCAGCGAUCAUCGUUGGAGCUGUAGUUGGCGACUUAAUUAGCCCAGACUUUUCGUACCAAUGCAAAUACACCUAAGCCCAGAGAUGCUCUUCACGCUGUCUCGCGAACAGAUAGCUUUGUAAUCCCUGGAUGUGACCUCACAGACCAUCCAUUCUGUUUUUCCCUCCUCUAGCUACUGCUCGUGGUGUCGUCGUACUCUUAUAAGGAGGCCACGCUGAAAUUUCAGACCGAAAGGACAUGUUUAACAUGCGGAAAUAUGGUGAUUGGCUACACUCUGGGGACAACAACCAACAACAAGACUUGCUUAUAGAGAAAAACAAACCGAACAUACAGCAAAACAAAGUCACUAGAGGACCAACCAACCAGGUAUAGGUUUUAUAAAGAGCCCAUAGGAAGGGCGGCAACACAUCCACGACACACUAAAAUAUGGACUUCACACUGACAUCAACACACGGCAAUAGUUUUUGUUCACAGGGUUACGAGCCCAAAGUUCCGACACGAGAAUAUUCAUCUAAGUUUUACGCGCAUCCUUUGAAAACCGCUACAUCUUCGGAGACACAUGGAACACAUAAUGCAAGGGAUUGCAUGGGGCCACGUUCUCCCUCCUUCACUUGCCGCUACUUAGGAGUUAGGACCGCAUGCCGC